UUCAAUUGAAGCAACAAAACCAUCGUAUUUGGCUUUCCGUAAGCACCAAGUUAACAAUAAUAGAGUUGAUUAGUAGCUGAUACAGUGCUAUGAAUUUUUAUUAUAGUCGUCGUUGGUAUCAAAUCAGUUUAUACAGUAGAAACAUGGACAGUGCUAAGAUGGAUUAGCACGUGCAGUUGUAAACUACAGAAAAAAGAUUAUUUGUCCAUUAGUCGAUACCGAAUUUGAUCAUAUAUAUUGUUCUAUUGAGCUUAUUAUUGUAAAGUCACCAACAAGUUGAAUCAGCUAUAAGCCUCUCAGAAGGGUAUAGCCGCCUCUGCUUCCGCAUUACAUCUCCAUUUGAAACAGUAACCGAAUUUGAUAAGUAUGCAACGAUUUCUGCCCUGCAGCAUGAGUAAAAUGUUAUGAGUUAUCACUUCAGAUAAGUAACCACUAUAUUAUUUUCUCUGUGUAAUUGACCUGUACACAUGUUGUCGCUCUGCUUGAACCAUCGAUCUCUAUAUGUAUUUGAGCUCCUCUCACAGGCUGACUCCUAUGUUCGUGACUGAGCAUGUGUGUGUGUGUGUGUGGCCAUGGGGCAGACUUUAUCUUUGACUGAAUCCUUGCAACAUUUUCCUUUCAGGCCAACGAACAAUAAGAUUCUUCUGACCUUACAUGUCGAAAACCCUUCGGAAGGUUUCGCUGUCCUGAUCCCUGAGGGUUCCGGCUGACCUGAGGAUAUGAUGUACUU